ACUUCGAUUCCUGCAUAAUAUGUGAAAGUGAUUAUUGAAAAUCUAUAAUUGUCCUAAAUUGUUUAAUUGAUGUAGACGGGGCAUGAAUAUUUUCAUUAUAAAUUGAUGAAACAUGUCAUUUGUAAUAUACACAUGUAAAAAAAUAUGACUAAAACUCUCAUGUUUGUGUAUGUUAAUGUUAUGGUCCUCUUUCUUUUUCUAUUUCUUACUAUAACUGGAGUCAGCGCAUUGGGUGAAUUUUGUUGUUUCCAUGGUGAUUGUUCGAGCUCUGAUUGCGAUAUACCUAAGGUUGGGACUUGCAUCAAGCGUCAUUGUUUGUGCUUGUAGUAAUUAAGUAUUGAAAAUGAUUUCAAUGUUAAUUAUAAUCACAUUAUUUUGGUUGUUGGUUUACAAGCAGAAUAUUUUACUAGCAGCUAAAAUAAUGUCCUCCCUCCUGUCCUUUUUAUAAGGAAUAUUUUGAAAAAAAAAUUUGGUC